rnacentral:lncRNA from 1 species
CAGGACCAAAGCCCAUUUAAUUAUAACCUUAGCUUGAUUACAACUCCAUCAGGUUACCAAACCGGAUCAACACAAUCUCCUCCUUACAUGUUUUUCUGUAGUUUUCAUGAAAGAUCGCAACCAAGAGAGAGAUAAGUUCAGAGUCUGGUUUAAGAAAGGAAUUAUUUACUUAUUACCAUAUUUUAAAUUUAUUUCAAUGUUUAUUCAUUUUCAUGGUAAAGUAUGUAUUUAUCAGUUUAAGAACAUUGAUAAGUGCUAUGAAAAGAUAACUAAAUUAUAAAUUAUUCAGCACUUAUCAGCUUGGGAUGGUCGGUUUAAAGACCAUGGUUAAGCCUUCACUAUCACCUGCGGGUUUUAGUGAGAUGGCAGCGCCUACGGUCUUAACACUACCUUUUCAGUUUUUGCUCAUUUUUUUGUUUAACUCUGUAGAGCAAUGUAUUGCAUUUUCUGGUGACAUAACCAAUUAAUCAACAAACUUCUGUCCAACACAUACAAGGUCACCUUCAAGGGCCCAGCAUGUGAUACAUCAAGGUUUGAAAAGUUUUUAGUAGUUUUUAUUUGGAAGUCAAUCCUCUGAAUGCCAGCACCUCUUGUCGCAGCUAGGGGAUCUUCCCCUUAAUAUCACUGACAAGUGUUCGAGGACUGGCUCCACCCUCUUCAAAGUCAAUCCUCUGGACUUCUGUUGAGUUCCUGGUGAAGGGCAGGGGGUUUGCUGACAGGCCUCAACAACCAAUAGGUUGGUAAAGAAAUUACCUUGUAGAUUAGAGUGCAUAAGGAUACUGAGGAGAAAACCUCCAGGGUAUCCUGGACUUGGAAAGCGUCUAGGUGAAGAGGAGAAAAAGA